CUGGGAACCCAGGCUGCGGCUACCAGAUGCAGAAAUAGAGACUUACAGAGGCUGAAUAAUUUGCCAGAGAUCAUCGUGCUUGUGACUCUCAGGACUGGGGUUGGAACCCGGUGGUGGGGCUCCAGAGUGGGAGGCGCCAGUUGGCCAUGGACAAGUGUCAGGUGUGGCAUUGGCCAGUGAGCCGCUCCAGCUGGGGAGACCGCGCCUCUGCCUGAGAUCCAGGAUUAUCUUUAAAGGGGCUAGGCAGUUAUGGUUCGUCUUUCUUCGGUCACUAAUGUUGUGGGAGCUGUUCCUGCUUCCCACCCUUACUACGCAGCGCUUGAGUGGCAGGAAGUUUUACACUGAGGAGCUCCUCCAUCUCACUAGAAGCUGUGGCCACUCACAUGUUGUUCAGAG